CAGUCGCCGCGGUAAUACGAAGGGGGCUAGCGUUGCUCGGAAUUACUGGGCGUAAAGGGAGCGUAGGCGGAUGAAUUAGUCAGGGGUGAAAUCCCGGGGCUCAACCUCGGAACUGCCUUUGAUACUGUUCAUCUUGAGUAUGGGAGAGGUGUGUGGAACUCCGAGUGUAGAGGUGAAAUUCGUAGAUAUUCGGAAGAACACCAGUGGCGAAGGCGACACACUGGCCCAUUACUGACGCUGAGGCUCGAAAGCGUGGGAGCAAACAGGAUUAGAUACCCCAGUAGUCCCUGUCUCUUAUACA
rnacentral:rRNA from 1 species